GACGAACGCUGGCGGCGUGCUUAACACAUGCAAGUCGAACGAGAUCCAUUCAGUAGCAAUACUGAUGAAGAUCUAGUGGCGAACGGGUGCGUAACACGUGAGGAACUUGUCCCGGUCUCU
rnacentral:rRNA from 1 species